rnacentral:lncRNA from 1 species
GAGAGAGAGAGAGAGAGAGAGAGAAGCAGAACCUGUCUUGUUCCUUCGGAUAGGUAGGGAUUCCGGUCAGUAAUAGGAAGAAGCACAUGCUUGAAGGCCGUAUACAAGUCUGCCGUUGGGGCGUUGCCAGUGUCUUGCACCUCUGCCUUUGCGGUCAGGCUUGCUGCAACAGAAGAGGCCAAUCAGCUAAAUGUAUGUAAAGCAUUUCAUUAUUAACUAUCAAUUGCACGAACAAUACGAUUGAGAAAAUUUGACAGAAUUAUAGACGGCCACACCCCCCGAGUAACCCAAAGCCUCAAAGACUCGGAGUUCAAGUAAAUCUGAAGAAACAAGAUGAGCACGGUUCAUGCUCAAGAACACCCACUUAAGCGAAGGCAAAAAAAAAAAAAAAAGAAAAAAACGUGUAUAGCAUAUUCAUCUAUAUAUGAAAAAAAUUACUCAUGCAAAUAUCUAGAGGAGGACCGCAACCAAUCGCAUAAAAGAGGUAAAAACCUUUUUCAAUGCAAGCAUAUUGUACCAGAGAAAAGACCAGAAGAUCCUGGGCAAUGCUUGUAGGCACUUCUCUAUGUUGAAGGCACUCCCUAUGAAAGAAUUCUUCAGAAAGCUCUUGACAGGAAACAGAAAGCAAUCACAUGUUCCAUCGCAACAGUGCGAAGCUAUAUGAGAGUCAACGCGAGAAACCCAUUGUAUUUUAAAGACUUGUGCUAAAAUAUAGUUCUCUCGAUAACUCAUUGUAUGAAAACAACACCAUUUCUCAACAACUUCCAGACAUGAUGCGAUUGCUCACAACCUCGAGAAACAGGAAACAGCUCUAAAAAUUACAUUUUGAGGCAGAAAAGAAAUAGGGACACUAGACCGAAAUGAUAUGCCAGGGGAUAAUCUCCCCUCAUUGGUAAAAGAAAUCAUAGAAAACCUGGCAGAUAUUGACAGCCAAAAGCGUUUUCCUAGAUAAAUCGAUGGUGAGUAUAAUUUUCUCUCGAGAUCAUUCAAAUGAAACCCAUCUCGUUUCGUUCAGAUCUGAACCUCUUUUCCUAUAAAUUCGAUGCCCGCGCCGCGUGGUCUGAACUCAUAACUCGCUUUCCUUGAAUAUAAUCAAAAUCUUGCAAUUGUUUAUAUCUUCCCCAAACAUAUGACGCACUGACCGAGCCUAAGUAAUAAUGUUUAACUCUCCUAGAUUAGGAGCAUAAUGUGAAGCAAUGCCCGUAUCUGGUUUAUCGGCCUCCAAAUUGACAAGUUCUAGGCGAGUUAGUUCCACACGGCUCUCCACAUGUCUCCCCCAAAAUAAUCCACCGGUCUUUUCCCAUGGUUUUCAAAACAAACUGUACACAGUAACAUCCAUAAUGACGAGAAUAGGGUGGCGUUUCUCUGAUCACCUCCUGCCCCUGUUUCUAAUGUUCUCCACUCCCCAACCCCGAGAAACUAGUCCCCAUCAAGCCAAGCCCACUGGGGAGGCCUCCUCAAAGCCAACUCGGGUCUGUGUGCGAGGUAUGAUGGGAUGUUUCACCCACCGUUCAAAAUCAGCGCACAAAGCCGUAUCCAUGAGUGAAAAAUUUUAUGCAACCAGUACUAACACGGUGGGAGGGAACUAGCACCGUUUCCAAACGCCUGGAGCACCAAAAACAUUGAAUACUACAUAUAAAAAACCCCAUACAUAAGACAUCGCCAUGAAUUUCUCUGCCAAUAUCUUCAGCCCAGCUUUCUCCCUUGAUUAAAACACUGUUUUCUUUCCAUUAAGAGGAAGGAAUCUGCUCGUCCCCUAUCAUAUCAACUUCUACAACUUCAUCAGAUUCUGAAUUGAUGGAGCUCACAACAGUAGAUCUUUUCUCGUGGACAUUUUAUCAGCAAACUCAAGCGCACUUUUUGCAUCUCACAUGUCGUCCCUGGAUCAGGCACUAGUAUUUCACAUGGUCGCCACGAAGGUGGACUGUAGAAGAUUCGUUUAAGCGAAAAAUAAUGUUUCUAGUAAAACAUGCAAUAUGUGACGGUGAAGGUCGGCAUGCCUAUCGUGAGAAAACUCGCAAAGUUUUUUUUUUUUAAUGUCUGAUCCAUGAGUAGCAAGCGUCGCCAUUGCCGAGGAAAUUAUGCCCUCUACGAGCAACUAGAUGGAGGCGCGAUGAUUGUCGUACCAAAUGCCAUUCUUCACGACUUACACACCGCAAAAAAACCAGCAGACGGCAGGGUAUUGUACUUCUACAAGCAAGAAUAGAUAAGAUCAUACUAUUUCCGGGAAAGAAAAUAGAAAGCAUGUUCAGCUUUCUUUCGCACUGAAGACCUUUCACUUUAGGGCACUCAGUCGGAAAAUCCUUUCAAGACGUACUACAUAAAAGGCAUUCCGAAAGUAUACUGUUCUUCCGACCAGUACUGUGACCUGGACCAGGGCAAGGAAAAAUUCAGAGUGAUGGCACGAAAUUUCACGGGCUUUUUCCCUGGAAGACUCCGCAUCAAAUGGUCCAAGUCCCUCAUCAACUCUCCCUGCUCCAAUAUAACCCGAGAUUUCGCCCCCCAGACUCCCCUCCUCCCCCCCCCUAAAACCACCCCUAGCCCAUCAGAAACGCCUCUGCCCGACGAAAAAUUCCAAUUCGAAAAGAGGAAUAAGAAUCACCUCUGUCCAUUCUUGUUCGGAAAGCGGGGAGAUCCGCCCUCCUUGCCCGAAAAGGAGAGUGGCAAUGAGUUAGAAGAUACGCUCCUCCAUCACCUCCGCGCACAGGGAUCGCCGGUGGAGCCAAGCGAACCGAGCUGCCGACGGAGAUGGAUAGCAGAGAGUUGGCAAUGGCCAUCACAGGAGAGAGCAAUGUCACCGAGAAGGGCGAGGGGAGAGCACGGCAGUGGCGGGGGGAAGAGAAGGAACACUCGGGAUGAACCCAGGAGAGGCGGCGGAGACCGUUGUGGGCUC